GACAGAGGGUGCAAACGUUGCUCGGAAUUACUGGGCGUAAAGCGCGUGUCGGCGGGCUGAUAAGUCGGACGUGAAAUCCCUGGGCUCAACCCAGGAACUGCAUCCGAAACUGUCAGUCUGGAGUGGUGGAGAGGGAAGCAGAAUUCCUGGUGUAGAGGUGAAAUUCGUAGAUAUCAGGAGGAACACCGGUGGCGAAGGCGGCUUCCUGGACACUAACUGACGCUGAGACGCGAAAGCUAGGGGAGCAAACGGG
rnacentral:rRNA from 1 species